GUCAGUUAGAGACAGUAGGAUAGAUAGAUACUGGUCAGUUAGAGACAGUAGGAUAGAUAGAUACUGGUCAGUUAGAGACAGUAGGAUAGAUAGAUACUGGUCAGUUAGAGACAGUAGGAUAGAUAGAUACUGGUCAGUUAGAGACAGUAGGAUAGAUACUGGUCAGUUAGAGACAGUAGGAUAGAUAGAUACUGGUCAGUUAGAGACAGUAGGAUAGAUAGAUACUGGUCAGUUAGAGACAGUAGGAUAGAUAGAUACUGGUCAGUUAGAGACAGUAGGAUAGAUACUGGUCAGUUAGAGACAGUAGGAUAGAUACUGGUCAGUUAGAGACAGUAGGAUAGAUAGAUACUGGUCAGUUAGAGACAGUAGGAUAGAUAGAUACUGGUCAGUUAGAGACAGUAGGAUAGAUACUGGUCAGUUAGAGACAGUAGGAUAGAUACUGGUCAGUUAGAGACAGUAGGAUAGAUACUGGUCAGUUAGAGAAAGAUAGAUAGAUACUGGUCAGUUAGUAGGAUAGAUAGAUACUGGUCAAUUAGAGACAGUAGGAUAGAUACUGGUCAGUUAGAGACAGUAGGAUAGAUAGAUACUGGUCAGUUAGAGACAGUAGGAUAGAUAGAUACUGGUCAGUUAGAGACAGUAGGAUAGAUAGAUACUGGUCAGUUAGAGACAGUAGGAUAGAUAGAUACUGGUCAGUUAGAGACAGUAGGAUAGAUAGAUACUGGUCAGUUAGAGACAGUAGGAUAGAUACUGGUCAGUUAGAGACAGUAGGAUAGAUACUGGUCAGUUAGAGACAGUAGGAUAGAUACUGGUCAGUUAGAGACAGUAGGAUAGAUAGAUACUGGUCAG